AGAGUUUGAUCCUGGCUCAGAUUGAACGCUGGCGGCAUGCCUUACACAUGCAAGUCGAACGGUAACAGGGAGCUUGCUCCGCUGACGAGUGGCGAACGGGUGAGUAAAGUAUCGGAACGUACCUUUCAGUGGGGGAUAACGUAGCGAAAGUUACGCUAAUACCGCAUAUUCUGUGAGCAGGAAAGCAGGGGAUCGCAAGACCUUGCGCUGAUUGAGCGGCCGAUAUCAGAUUAGCUAGUUGGUGAGGUAAAGGCUCACCAAGGCGACGAUCUGUAGCGGGACUGAGAGGAUGAUCCGCCACACUGGAACUGAGACACGGUCCAGACUCCUACGGGAGGCAGCAGUGGGGAAUUUUGGACAAUGGGGGCAACCCUGAUCCAGCCAUGCCGCGUGAGUGAAGAAGGCCUUCGGGUUGUAAAGCUCUUUCGGCCGGGAAGAAAUCGCAUGGGUUAAUACCCUGUGCGGAUGACGGUACCGGCAUAAGAAGCACCGGCUAACUACGUGCCAGCAGCCGCGGUAAUACGUAGGGUGCGAGCGUUAAUCGGAAUUACUGGGCGUAAAGCGUGCGCAGGCGGUUUUGUAAGACAGGCGUGAAAUCCCCGGGCUCAACCUGGGAACUGCGCUUGUGACUGCAAGGCUAGAGUAUGGCAGAGGGGGGUGGAAUUCCACGUGUAGCAGUGAAAUGCGUAGAGAUGUGGAGGAACACCAAUGGCGAAGGCAGCCCCCUGGGCCAAUACUGACGCUCAUGCACGAAAGCGUGGGUAGCAAACAGGAUUAGAUACCCUGGUAGUCCACGCCCU
rnacentral:rRNA from 1 species